rnacentral:rRNA from 1 species
GUGUCCUACGGGGGGCAGCAGUGAGGAAUAUUGGUCAAUGGGAGAGAUCCUGAACCAGCCAAGCCGCGUGAGGGAAGACGGCCCUAUGGGUUGUAAACCUCUUUUGUCGGAGAACAAAACCCGGGACGAGUCCCGGACUGCGUGUAUCCGAAGGAAAAGCAUCGGCUAACUACGUGCCAGCAGCCGCGGUAAUACGUAGGGUGCAAGCGUUAUCCGGAUUUAUUGGGCGUAAAGGGCUCGUAGGCGGUUCGUCGCGUCCGGUGUGAAAGUCCAUCGCUUAACGGUGGAUCCGCGACGGGUACGGG